UUCCUUGUAGCUCUCUUCGGAAGA
rnacentral:piRNA from 1 species